AGAGAUUCCAAAUUAACAUUUGU
rnacentral:snRNA from 1 species